ensembl:lncRNA
AGAUGAGUGAAGGUGUUACAGUUAGGAUGACUGUUGACAUGAGGCUCUCAGAGGUUCACCACAAAUCGGAAGGACAAGAUUGAGAUUGCCAUUCUUACGGUCUUUCCAUAGUCUCCCCUUGCAAUUAGAAUUGACCAUCACUGGGGACCUCAUCUAUUAGAUGAAGGAUGUCUAGAAAGCCUCUGGACAGGCAGCAUGGCAGAAAUCAACUCUUUCCAAAAAAAAAAAAAAAAAAAGGCCUGCUGCUGACACUGGAUAGAGCACAAACAAGCUCUCUGUCUGACUCCUUCAGCUCUUGCAUAUCCCCUUGGCUAACAUUUCAGAGCUUCUGAUUCUUCAGACAUCAGCUUUUUGAUACUGAAGAGAUUGUUCUACCUGAUGAGUCCAGGCCUAGAAGAUGGACUACAUCCAAGAAGCCUGGCCCAUCUAAGGCCAAGUCACAUCUUUAAGAAAUAUUUGAAAGCAUUUGUGCACGGGAUAAAGGUGCAAGGACCAAAGUCUCC